AAUUCUGUAGUAUAAGAAUAACAUUAAAUUGCAAGUUUAAAGAUGUGUAAGGUCACCAGGAUU
rnacentral:tRNA from 1 species